rnacentral:lncRNA from 1 species
UUUCUUUUAUACAUAUGUUUAAAAAGCACUUACCUAAGUUUCAAAUUUUGCAAAAGAAAAUAGGAGGGUAGACAAAAAUCUCAAUUUCAAUUGAAAGAAUAAGUUGAAUGAAAAGUUUUUGAUUCAGCUAUUAUUAUAGGCAGACAGCACUAACAAAGAUAAAGUGCCAGACAUAUAAAGAAAUUGAUUCAUCAUCUGUAACAUCUAUCCAUCCCGCAAUUCCAAUCAACCGAUUCAUUGAGUAACUCUUGGGUAAACUAUUAAACUAAUAAGAGCUGUAUCGUCUAACUUCAUUAAAAAAUGAAACUUGCAUUUUUAUAGAAUCAAAAUAGAAAUAUAGAAAUGAUUUUCUAAUUUGAUCAUUUCUUAGAUUCUGGUGAAUUGUAUCGAAUCCAUUUUCGAUUUUAAAGCGAACAGUUACCUUAUAAAACUUUUUCUUUUGACUUUAAUUUAAGUUUAACUCAUUAGAUUCAGUAAUAUAUUAAUUUACAUAAUAUCUUGAAUGAGGGAGAAGAAAAAGUUAUCACACAACCACUUUAAAAACUCUUUUUUUUGUCCAACUAGAUUCUAAAACUAGUAAUUUCUAUUUCUUUAAAAAAAGAUUCCAACAACAAAACGGCUUCCACAACUCCGAAAAGAGAAUUUCUAUAUCUCGCAUCUACUUAAAUUGUGGGAAUAUGAGAAUCUUUUUCAUUGAAUUGAAAGAAUUUUCUAUUGAAUGGAAGAUGAUUUUACAUCAACAAGUAAAGGAAAAAAGAAAUUAUUUAGUACUUACUUUUGAUACUAAUUCAAAUUGCGUUGCUGUGUCAGAAGAAGGAUAGCUAUACUGAUUCGGUAUACUCUAAAGACGCCCUCGGUACAAUAUUGACGAUCUCACAAAGAUUAAAUUUCAGUUAAUUGUCAUUUACUGAUCUCAUCUUUUACGGAAUCGAUCUUCUUUGACUGUACAAGAAUAUGUGGAGCUCAGCAUGUCUGGAAGCACAGGAGAACGUUCGUUUGCUGAUAUUAUUACCAGUAUUCGAUACUGGGUCAUUCAUAGCAUUACUAUACCUUCCCUAUUCAUUGCGGGUUGGUUAUUUGUCAGCACAGGUUUAGCUUACGAUGUGUUUGGAAGCCCGCGGCCAAACGAGUAUUUUACAGAGAGCCGACAAGGAAUUCCAUUAAUAACUGGCCGUUUUGAUCCUUUGGAACAACUCGAUGAAUUUAGUAGAUCGUUUUAGGAGGCCCUAAUGACUAUAGAUCGAACCUAUCCAAUUUUUACAGUACGAUGGUUGGCUGUUCACGGCCUAGCUGUACCUACCGUCUUUUUUUUGGGAUCAAUAUCAGCAAUGCAGUUCAUCCAACGAUAAACUUAAUCCGAAUUAUAGAGCUACGACACAAUCAAACCCGAACGAACAAAAUGUUGAAUUGAAUCGUACCAGUCUCUACUGGGGGUUAUUACUCAUUUUUGUACUUGCUGUUUUAUUUUCCAAUUAUUUCUUCAAUUAAGAAAACGAAAGAGAAUAAAUAAGAUUCUCUUAGCUCAUUCGGAAGGAUCUCAUAAUUUAAUUAUCCAUGACUGUUUAUGUCUCUAGCAUGACCACUUGAUGAAAUCUGGAGGGAAGUGGGGUAAAUGGCCGAUACUACUGGAAGGAUUCCUCUUUGGAUAAUAGGUACUGUAGCUGGUAUUCUUGUAAUCGGUUUAAUAGGUAUUUUCUUUUAUGGUUCAUAUUCCGGAUUGGGUUCAUCCCUGUAGUAAUCGACUGAAUUGAGUUGUCAACAUGAAAGCGUAAGAACUUAACGGGAUUCCCUUCUUUGUUUGUUUGAUUCGAAGGGGAAGGGCCCGUUGAGUUCUUAAGAAUCAUAAUAUUUUUUUCGUCUAAAUGCUAAAACGGAUUUCUUUUUCUUUUCAAAAACUCCGUUUUUCUCAUUUUUCUGAGCAUGUUUUUGAAAAAUUCACUUCAUUGAGUUAGUCAGACCACCUCUUCUUUUUAUAUGAUAGUAUCUAUCGGUACUUUCAAAGUUGGAAGAAAGAAGGAAGAACUCAAUUUCUUGGCUGCUAUCAUAUAUUAGAUAGCGUGCAAAUCCUUUCUAUACUAAUCUAAUGUAGAACCUUACUCUCUAUAUUACAUUACUCUAUUGAUUUUUUAUUGUUUUCCUAUUUCAUCAUCAAAUUUUUAUAAGAUAAGUUGAUUGAAGAAGUUUUAUUUAAUUAAUAAAAUUUCCUCUCUUUUUUGUUUUGUUUGUCCACCAAUUCAUAUAUUAUAUGUAAGGGGGUAGGUGUAGGGUUUCUGAUACAUCUGGAAAAAUUGAAACCAAGACUAGGAAUUUUUAACAAACAGGAUCAAGAAUCAUUACUCUUUCGUUUCGACACAAGAAAAAAGGAUUUUUCUACACCCCUUUCUUGUGUCGAAGACUAGGAAGACAAAUAAUCCCUCCUAGAAUUUUUUCUUCCCCGCAUUUAUCCCCCGCUUCCUUAUGUCUAGUAUUUAGACAAAUUUGACUUUCUUUCUAUUUAGAAUAGAAAACUAUUGAUACGUUUUAUGGCAGUGAAAUCUGGCAAUAGUAACAUAGUUACACUACUCCAAUUAAAAAAAAACUAAAUCAAAAUAAAUGAAAGCCAAAUACUCUUCUUCAAAAUCUACAUACUAUGUGGUACAAGGGAUUCCCAGCAUCUCGUAGAAAAAGAGUAUGUAAUGUAGAUUUUGAAGAAGAGUAUAAAUAAGACAAAGGAGUUUUCAUAAUUUCAUUUUUUUGAUCAUAAAUAAUCGCCAACAAGAAUUUGGUUCUUUUUACGUACUUGAUAUCGAUAAAUCUGCGAAUCUAGAAAUUCAUUUCGGCCAAUUGAACCUUCUCGAACUGUUUCUUUUUAAGAACCAAAAAGAUUUGUGCCAAAAUAACAGAUGCCAAGAAGAACAAAAGUCCUUGGACACGUAAUGGAUCUUGAAGUACUAUUUCUGCAUCUCCCUGACCAAAUCCGCCUACAUUAGGAUUACUCGUUAAUGGUUGAUCAAAUUUGAUAGAUUCGCCCUCGGAAACAAGAAGUUCUGGUCCGGGAGGGAUAAUAUCAACCACUUGACGUCCCUCCGACGCAUCCGUUAUGGUUAUCUCAUACCCCCCUUUUUCUUUUCGUAUGAUUUUGCUUACUAUACCUGCUGCUGUAGCAUUAUAAACUGUAUUGUUACUCUUGUUGCCGUCGGGAUAAAUCUGACCCCUUCCCCUGUUCCCGCCUACGUAUAUAGGAUAUUUUAAGAAGUGAACAUCCUUCUUAGUAGCAGGGUCCGGGGAAAGAAUAGGGAAGGUUAUUUCACUAUAUUUUUUACCAGGGACAGGGCCUACCACAAGAAUAUUUGUUUUAUUGGGGCGAUAGCUCUGAAAAGACAAAUUGCCAAUCUUUUCUUUCAUCUCAGGAGAAAUACGAUCGGGAGGAGCUAAUUCAAACCCCUCCGGUAAAAUAAGAACAGCUCCGACGUUCAACCCCCCUUUUUUACCAUUAGCAAGAACCUGUUUCAGUUGCAUAUCAUAAGGAAUUCGAACAACUGCUUCAAAUACAGUAUCAGGAAGUACCGCUUGUGGAACCUCAAUUUCCACGGGCUUAUUAGCUAAAUGGCAAUUGGCACAUACAAUACGCCCAGUCGCUUCUCGUGGAUUUUCAUAACCCUGCUGUGCAAAAAUGGGAUAUGCACUUGAAAUGGACGUCCGAGUUAAGAUAUAUAUCAUGAGCGAUACGGAAAUAGAUCGAGUAAUCUGUUUCUUUAGCCAAGAAAAAGCAUUUCUAGUUUGCAUGGUCCAAUCAUUGAUCGCGAAAAUUUCUACAAUAAAUUGGGUAGGUCGCUAGUAUAGUUCCCUAGCCACGAUUCUGCUAUUUGCUGGAAUAAUCUAGGAUGAAUCUUCCCGAUGGUUAGAAAUAGGAAGAGUAAAUAUGAUUUUCAAUACUUUGCUUAUGUACAACUACAAAGUACUAAGCAUUCUAAUUGGAUUAGAUUAAUAUCAAUGGAUCCUUUAUCAUUCAGUUAUUGAAUCAUAAAGCAGUAAAAUUGACGGAGACAGACUAGUUAAAUAACGGAAAAGCCAAUAUUUAAAACAUGUAUCAAAAAUUACUGGAAGGAUGCAAACAAGAAUAGUUAUAGUUUGCUCAUUCGCAACAACUCCAACCUCGUUAUAGAUAGAGCGUAUAACGAAUUCCCAACCUGGGGGUGAAUGAUAUCCGAGAAAAAACUCACUUACUAGAAGAAUACACAAAGCUUUUGCUGUGUCACUUAAGUUAUAUAGGAAUUCCUGAGCCCAAGAGUUAAGAAUAACAAGUUUUUCCUUACCCAAAAUUGAAUACCCGCUUAGAAUACCAAACCAGAUUAUAUUUGUUGAGAAGUGCAAAAUCGUAUCCAUACGAUUCUCAUUUUGUAUCGUGAUUAAUUGGAUCGUUUCUUUAUGGAUUCCUAUCCCAAACUCUUCGAGAUGUGUUUCCGAGUAUUCCUUGAUCAUUUCGUCCAAGAAGAGGAGUUCCUCUAAUUCUCUGAAUUUUUCUAGAAGACUCUUUUCUUGAAUAUUAUUCAAGACAAUUUGGGAUUGCCCAGUAUUCCACCAAUUAGUAACCCAAGAUUCCAGCCAUUUAUUAACUGAGAAAGAAAUCCACCAGGGCAAAAAUACUAUAGAUGCAAGAUAGAAAAGAGGAGUGAAUGCUUUCUUUUUUGCCAUUUUUUCGUCUGUAAAUUGUUAAUCAACCCAUUCGUACACUCUAUGCGAUCGAAUAUUUCUUACACACAUGAGUUUUAUACAAGGUAUCGAACUUAUGAAUCUAUUUUCUUUGUGAUUUUGUGGUUAGUCUUUGAAUCUAGAAAGAAUACAGAAAUAGGCUAAGAAUUCACUUCGAAUGAAGAAAUUGAGAAUAUUGUUUCCUGAUAUCUCAAUUGGUCAAAUUAAAAAUUAAGUGUAUCCUUUCGAUGAAUGACCGAAAGAACCACUUUAAGUAAUGAAUAUUAUUCAGAUUUUGAGACGAAAGAACUCCUUUGCUAUCAAAAUAUCCAAUAUUUCGAAAAAAUUUCAUUGAUUACCCAUAGUCAGGAAUAGAAUAAUUGAGGGAAAGAUAUUAGGAUGAUAAAAAAAAAAUGACUAGCAAAGGAUAAAUUGGCUAGUUCUCAGUAUUUAAUUAAGAAAUCCAAUUGUUGGUCAUUAAAGAAUACAAAAGAAAGAAUUUCAAAUUUACAAGAUACGAUCUAUCUGGAUCUAAAGUGUCAAUUCCAACAAAUAUUGAACUAAAAAAAAUUCUUGCUUUCGAAAUGGUUUGCCGUCUGAGAUGAAUCUAUUAUUUCGAUUUGUUAUUUGUUAUUGAAUUGCGUGCACAUAAAGACCAUAAAAAGAGUUUCGUUUUAUGGUUCUUUCAUAUACGUUUUCUUUAAUUGAAUGAACGUUCUGAUUCUCAAUUUAUCAAAAUACUUCAAUUGGUACACGCAAGAAAUAGGCUAAUUCAGCAGCCUUUUGUUCAAUUUCUCGUGGAGUCAAAUUCUCAUCAGUACGGGUCAAGGGAAUGGACCCCUGGCCUCGGAUGUCCAUAUAAAGAACACGACGAGCAUAAAUACCCUCUUUAACUUCUAUUCUAACGGACUGAAUAUCUUUUAUAAGGAAUCGGAGGAAUAUGCGACGAUUUUUUCCCGGAAAUCCCCAACGAAAGAUACAGACUAUUCCCUCCUUUCUAUCGAAUCGAUCAUAACCACUACCUACAUUCCAGGAAAUUGUGCACCACAAAUAAGAGCUAAUAAAGAGACCCGCAAUUCCGUAGAAAGACAUCACGAUUCCUUGUGGAAAAAAAAUGAUUUGCUGAGGCGGAAAAAAAGAUAGCAAAUUUCUACCAAGAUAACUGGAAGUUCCAACUAAUAAGAAGCCUAAUGAACCUAAAAAAAGGAUCAAGGCCCAGCAGAAAUUACUUAUUUUUCGAGACCCCGUUAUAAGUUCUAUCCAUAUAUCGUCUGAUCGCCAAGUCAUACUUUACUCGAUUGCAUUUUAUUGGAAUUGAGAUAAUACCCCAGAAAAAUUUGACUUUACUUUUUUGUUUCCGAAGUAACUCUCAUCAACUAGCACUAGUUUGAGGUGAACUAGCACUAGUUUGAUGUCAACCUUUAGGAGUAAUUCAUCAAAUUGGUUAAAUCUAAAAUAAUAACAUACUCUUUAUUUAAUACGAUCCCACUAUACAUAUCGAUAUACAUAUAGAUUCACCGACUACAUUUCAGCCAUCCAGAGAUCCUGAUCUAUUUGAAAAUUGCUAGAAUUGAUAUAUCCAUAUAUCAUGUUUCUGCGGGCAUAAGAGUUUUUUCCUUUAUGUUCGGUGGAAAUCACAUGUUAUACUAUACUCCAAUAAAUAGAUAUCCGUGUUAUGAUACAAGUCCACGUUUUCAAAAAAAAAAAUGGAUGAGAUUGGGUCCCAGCGGAUCUAAACAAUCUUGUUUUUUUGAACAUGAAGAAAUAAAGAAGCCAUUGCAAUUGCCGGAAAGACUAGGCCUACUAACGGCACAAAAAUAGAUGGAAGGUUCAAAUUUGUCAUAGAAGGGGUACCUCGAUUUACUAUUUGUAUCUGUUAUUAUGUUAUUAUAUAAAUAAAGAUAUCUUGUAAUAAUUAUAAUUAAAUUAAGAAUUUGAAUUCUAAUUAGAUAUUAGAUAAUAUUUAUUAUUAAUAGAAUUUGAAGAAUUUGAAAUUCUUAGUAUAGAUCGAAGUAUCGAUAUAUCUAAAUCUAACUGAGUACGUAUAAUAAGAAUAAGUGCAAAGAAUGUAGAACUGUAGAACUAAAUAAAUGGACUUAUUCAUCUCCUCCAUGAGAAAGAUAUGUAUGAUAAUAAACUUUAUUAUUUUUCUUCAUUUCUUUGUCUUUUGUUCUUGUCUUCUACUUUUCUAAAAAUAGAUAAAGAGUUUUUUACAGAUUAUCGACGGAUUCAUUCGAAUCCGACCCAACAUGGAUUUUUAGCUAAAAUGGUUUUUCGGUAGAUAGAGAAAGAUACAAAACUCUAUUAUCUCUAUUGAAAUUUCAAAUUAUAUACCUAAGACAAGACCAAAUUCGUUUUAUUUUACUAAUUUCACGAAAGGAAGAACUCACUCUUGGUGAUAAAGGUUUCUUGAUUCGUAAUCAGGAAUAUAGGUCAAAAAAAGAGUUAUCCUCAACUUUCGUUUUAAUUCUUUCUACAAUUCGAUCUUCUAUCACCAAAGAAAAGGCCAUUAUUAUCUUAUUUACUUUGAUUCCGAUAAACUAACUACUUUUUGCUACAAACACAAAAAAAAUAAUUGAACUUAGUGCUCUACUUGAUUUUGCUUGACUUUUGAUUCAAAGGAAAAAAGGCGUGGAGCUUAAAUAACUCACUCAGAACGCUUUUUAAAAGAUUACGUGGUACAAUUAGGUCGAAUAAACCCUUCUGGAAUAAGUAUUCAGCUGCUUGUGAACCUUCGGGUACUGUUUUAUUCAAUGUUUGUUCAAUUACUCUUUUACCUGCAAAUGCAAUGUAGGCAUUGGGUUCGGCAAUAAUGAUAUCCCCCAACAUACCAAAACUAGCUGUCACUCCACCAGUUGUCGGAGAUGUAAGGAUUGAUACAUAAAAUAAUUUUUUAUUUAAUUGAUAAUCAUAUAAAGCAGACGAUAUUUUAGCCAUUUGCAUCAAGCUCAAACUUCCUUCCUGCAUGCGCGCCCCCCCAGAAGCACACACUAUCAUAAGAGGUAAAUUUUGAUUGGCAGCGUGUUCAAUCAAACGGGUGAUUUUCUCUCCGACUACGGAUCCCAUACUACCCCCCAUAAACUGAAAAUCCAUAACCCCAAUUGCUACGGGAAUGCCGUUUAGUUGGCCUAUGCCUGUUUGAACAGCCUCGGUUAAUCCUGUCUUUCUUUGAUAAGAAUCAAUACGGUCCUUAUAAGGCUCCUCCUCCGAAUGAAAUUCAAUGGGAUCCAGCGAGACCAUGUCUUCAUCCAUAGGAUCCCAAGUACCCGGAUCGAUCAAAAGUUCAAUUCUAUCCGAACUACUCAUUUUCAAAUGAUAUCCACAUUGUUCACAAAUAUUCAUUUUUGAUUUCAAAAAUUUCUUAUAAUUUAAUCCAUAACAAUUUUCGCAUUGAACCCACAAAUGCUUGUAUUUUUGAGUUACCUCGAGAUCAUUAGAACUUUCUCUUAUAGUUAAAUCACUGUCCUUUGUGCGAGUUCGUCUACUGGAACCCUCGUUUUCACUACUAUUUAGACUUUGACCACUACAAAUGGCCCUAUAAAUGUAACUGUCACCGUUACUCUCACUACCACUUAUAAUGGAAGUAUCUAUACAGAUUUGAGACUGAAGAUAAUUAUCAAUGCAACUAUUAAUGUGAUUAUUCCAACUAUAUUGAGUAUCAUACAUGUAAGAAUUAUAGUAGGGAUCUUCGCCCCUAAAUCCAUUAUUCAGAUAACUCGAGUUUCGAUAACUAUAAAAAGAACUUUCUAGUUCACUCAGAAAAGAAUGAUCGUUGUCAACCUCAAAAAUAUGAUUUUCAAUAUCAAAAUAGAUGGAAUAACUGUCCCCAUUCCUAUCACUAACUAAAAAAGUGUCAUUAGAGAUGAAAUUCCAAAUGUCUUUAACGCCGAAUAAAUAAUCAACAUUACUGCAACUAUGAAUGUUUUUCACUUUUAGAUUUGGAUCUUCACUGGUAUUUUCAAUAGGACCAAGACUGCCCAUUGAUUUAUUUAGCCCACACCUGCGUUCGAACUCCUUCUUAAACAACAUCGAAUUAAACCACCAUCUUUCCAUAGAGUUUUCUUGCCCCCUAUUUGCAUGAAAAUACAAUAGAUGAAUAGUCAUUCGCUAUAAAAUUCUUUAUUUGAAUAUCUUAUUUCCUAUCAGACUAAGCAUAGAAAUCCAAUCACUAGGAUUAUUAACUAAUACGGAUUGUGAGUAUUCAAAAAAAGUUCUGAAUCUGGGGGAACACUUCACUAUAUAUUAAUAUGUUGGAACCCCCUUUUAUUAUUAAAAAGAAUAUAAAAAUAAUAGAAUUUUUGAUAAAGGGCGGCUUCUCCUAUGUCGUGUCAAAUUCGCAUCGAAAAAAAGAGAUUUGUCCUCUCUUAUAAAUAUAAAGAAAUAAAAAAAAUUCGUAAAAUCUCGUCUAAUACUAAUAUCUAAUCACUAACUAAUCUAACAAUCUAAAAUCUAAUAAUAAGUAAUAAAUUAAGGUUCUAUUUCAACACGGAACAAAGGGGACAAUAUACAGGAUGGGUAGAAAGAGUUGGAAUACUUGGCUUGAUUCAGGGAAACUACAAACUACAGGAUAGAAAAGAAUAUACCAAUCCUAAGGAUCCGUAGGAUUAAUUGUGGAUCCAAGACAAUAAUAGAAAGAUUUGAGUCUUAGAUUUUGAUUUAGUUUUCUAGAUUUUGUAUUUCAAAUCUUGAUCAAAAUAUAUGCAAUAGAAUCUUAGUUGUAUUCGGCCCAAUCUUUUACUAAAAGGAUUGAGCCGAAUUAAAUUGUAAUGUAAUUCAAUUAAGAGAACGAAGGAUAAUUACUUGAGUUCUUUCUCCUUAUCCUUCUUUAUUUCCUGCUAAUUUAUCUGCUAAUGUCUACUGUUUUUACUUAUCCAAAACGUCCACUGCUGCAAAAUUAAAUACGAUCUCUUUCCAUACCUCACAAGCAGCAGCUAGUUCCGGGCUCCAUUUGCAAGCCUCGCGAAUAAUCUCAUUACCUUCCCGAGCAAGAUCACGUCCUUCAUUACGAGCUUUUACACAUGCUUCUAGAGCUACUCGAUUAGCUACGGCACCUGGCGCAUUACCCCAAGGAUGUCCUAAAGUUCCUCCACCGAACUGUAGUACGGAAUCAUCCCCAAAGAUCUCGGUCAGAGCAGGCAUAUGCCAAACGUGAAUACCUCCUGAAGCCACAGGUAGAACACCUGGUAAAGAGACCCAAUCUUGAGUGAAAUAAAUACCGCGACUUCUAUCUUGUUCAACAAAAUCAUCACGCAGUAAAUCAACAAAGCCCAAAGUUAUGUCUCUUUCACCUUCAAGUUUACCUACUACGGUACCAGAGUGAAUAUGAUCUCCACCAGACAUACGUAACGCUUUUGCUAAUACCCGGAAGUGGAUACCAUGAUUCUUCUGUCUAUCAAUAACCGCAUGCAUUGCACGGUGGAUGUGAAGAAGUAGACCAUUAUCUCGGCAAUAAUGAGCCAAGGUAGUAUUUGCGGUAAAUCCCCCCGUUAAGUAGUCAUGCAUUACGAUCGGAACGCCCAAUUCUCUAGCAAAUACAGCUCUUUUGAUCAUUUCUUCGCAUGUACCUGCAGUAGCAUUCAAGUAAUGCCCUUUGAUUUCACCUGUUUCAGUCUGUGCUUUAAAAAGUGCUUCGGCACAAAAUAAGAAACGAUCUCUCCAACGCAUAAAUGGUUGUGAGUUCACGUUCUCAUCAUCUUUGGUAAAAUCAAGUCCACCGCGAAGACAUUCAUAAACAGCUCUACCGUAGUUUUUUGCAGAUAACCCCAAUUUAGGUUUAAUAGUACAUCCCAACAGGGGACGACCAUACUUGUUCAAUUUAUCUCUUUCAACUUGGAUCCCAUGAGGCGGACCUUGGAAAGUUUUAACAUAAGCAGGAGGGAUUCGCAGAUCUUCCAGACGUAGAGCGCGCAGGGCUUUGAACCCAAAUACGUUACCUACAAUGGAAGUAAACAUAUUGGUAACGGAACCUUCUUCAAAAAGGUCUAAAGGGUAAGCUACAUAAGCAAUAUAUUGAUCUUUUUCUCCAACAACGCGCUCGAUGCGGUAGCAUCGCCCUUUGUAACGAUCAAGACUGGUAAGUCCAUCGGUCCAUACAGUUGUCCAUGUACCAGUAGAAGAUUCGGCAGCUACCGCGGCCCCUGCUUCUUCAGGUGGAACUCCAGGUUGAGGAGUUACUCGGAAUGCUGCUAAUAUAUCAGUAUCCUUGGUUUGGUACUCAGGAGUAUAAUAAGUCAAUUUGUACUCUUUAACACCAGCUUUGAAUCCAACACUUGCUUUAGUCUCUGUUUGUGGUGACAUAAAUCCCUCCCUAGAACUCAUGAAUUAAAAAUUAUCACAACAACAAGGUCUACUCGACAUGAAUUCCGCGUUAAUGAAACUUUUCACAGGAAUCUGUCACAAAAUUUCCAACUAAUACUAAUAUUAUCAAUUAAUCAGAAUGGUUGAUUAUUAGACCAUGGUAUUUGAUUUGCCAAAUACAUCAUUAUUGUAUACUCUUUCAUAUAUAUAGCGCAACCCAAUUUUGAUUUUUUAUCUUUUUUUUUUUGAAAUGGAAAUACCUAGCUAACCUAAAUAAUAAGAACUUCCCCCUUGACAGUGGUAUAUGUUGUAUAUGUAAAUCCUAGAUGUGAAAAUAUAUGGAAUUCCUCUAUGAAUCUAUGAAAGGUAUAAAAAAGAAAGAAAAACGCAAAGAAAAGAAUAGGCUAGGCAUAAAUCGAUAUGCUGAAAUUGAAAUAAAAAAGAAAUAAGAAGAGGAGCCCAUUAGAUACAAAUAAUGAAUCGUAAUAGAAAUAGAAAAUAAAGUUCAGGUUCGAAUUCCAUAGAAUCGAUAAUAUGGAUGGGCUUGUCUAUAAUGGUAGACAAAUGAAAGACUUUCUCAAGAUUUUGAUUCAUCCACUUGAGAUUGUUAAAUGAAAAUAGGUUGGGUGAGCUGCCAAAUUAACUCAGUCUCAUUGAAUAAGUAAACAAUUGGAUUGGUUCAAUUGCAUGGUGCCAACGAAAUCGAGUGCUAAUUCCGAUUUUAUUGAAUUAACCGAUCGACGUGCUAGCGGACAUUUUUUUUGAAUUCGAUAAUUUUGGAAAAAACAUUUCGACAUAUUUAUUUUAUUAUUAUGAGAAUCAAUCCUACUACUUCUGGUUCUGGGGUUUCCACGCUUGAAAAAAAAAACCCGGGGCGUGUCGUCCAAAUCAUCGGUCCGGUACUAGAUGUAGCCUUUCCCCCGGGCAAGAUGCCAAAUAUUUAUAACGCUCUGGUAGUUCAAGGUCGAGAUAGUGUUGGUCAACCAAUUAAUGUGGCUUGUGAGGUACAGCAAUUAUUAGGAAAUAAUCGAGUUAGGGCUGUAGCUAUGAGUGCUACAGAAGGUCUAACGAGAGGAAUGGCAGUGAUUGACACAGGAGCUCCUAUAAGUGUUCCAGUUGGGGGAGCGACUCUGGGACGAAUUUUUAACGUGCUCGGAGAGCCUGUUGAUAAUUUAGGGCCUGUAGAUACUAGUACAACGUCUCCUAUUCAUAGAUCUGCGCCCGCCUUUAUACAGUUGGAUACAAAAUUAUCUAUUUUUGAAACAGGAAUUAAAGUAGUAGAUCUUUUAGCCCCUUAUCGCCGUGGAGGAAAAAUCGGACUAUUCGGGGGAGCUGGAGUGGGUAAAACAGUACUCAUUAUGGAAUUGAUUAACAAUAUUGCUAAAGCUCACGGGGGCGUAUCCGUAUUUGGCGGAGUGGGUGAACGUACUCGGGAAGGAAAUGAUCUUUACAUGGAAAUGAAAGAAUCUGGAGUGAUUAAUAAAGAAAAUAUUGCAGAAUCAAAAGUGGCCCUAGUUUACGGUCAGAUGAAUGAACCGCCGGGAGCUCGUAUGAGAGUUGGUUUGACUGCCCUAACUAUGGCGGAAUAUUUCCGAGAUGUUAAUGAGCAAGACGUACUUCUAUUUAUUGACAAUAUCUUCCGUUUCGUCCAAGCAGGAUCCGAAGUAUCGGCCUUAUUGGGUAGAAUGCCUUCCGCUGUGGGUUAUCAACCGACCCUAAGUACCGAAAUGGGUUCUUUACAAGAAAGAAUUACUUCUACCAAAGAAGGGUCCAUAACCUCUAUUCAAGCAGUUUAUGUACCCGCAGACGAUUUGACCGACCCUGCUCCUGCUACGACAUUUGCACAUUUAGAUGCUACUACCGUACUAUCAAGGGGAUUGGCUGCCAAAGGUAUUUAUCCAGCAGUAGAUCCUUUAGAUUCAACGUCAACCAUGCUUCAACCUCGGAUCGUUGGUGAGGAACAUUACGAAACCGCCCAAAGAGUUAAGCAAACUUUACAACGUUACAAAGAACUUCAGGACAUUAUAGCUAUCCUUGGAUUGGACGAAUUAUCCGAAGAGGAUCGUUUACUCGUAGCAAGAGCGCGAAAAAUUGAGCGUUUCUUAUCACAACCCUUUUUCGUAGCAGAAGUAUUUACCGGUUCUCCAGGGAAAUAUGUUGGUCUAGCAGAAACAAUUCGAGGAUUUCAAUUGAUCCUUUCCGGAGAAUUAGAUGGUCUUCCUGAACAGGCCUUUUAUUUGGUAGGUACUAUCGAUGAAGCUACCGCGAAGGCUAUGAACUUAGAAAUGGAGAGCAAUUUGAAGAAAUGACCUUAAAUCUUAGUGUACUGACCCCUAAUCGAAUUGUUUGGGAUUCAGAAGUGGAAGAAAUUGUUUUAUCUACUAAUAGUGGUCAAAUUGGCAUAUUACCAAAUCACGCCCCUAUUGCCACAGCUGUAGAUAUAGGGAUUUUGAGAAUACGCCUUAACGACCAAUGGUUAACGAUGGCUCUGAUGGGUGGUUUUGCUAGAAUAGGAAAUAAUGAGAUCACUGUUUUAGUAAAUGAUGCGGAGAAGGGUAGUGACAUUAAUCCACAAGAAGCUCAGCAAACUCUUGAAAUAGCGGAAGCUAAUGUGAAAAAGGCUGAAGGAAGGAGACAAAAAAUUGAGGCAAAUCUAGCUCUCCGACGAGCUAGAACACGGGUGGAGGCUAGCAAUCCGAUUUCAUAACUAGUUGGUACGUUCGAAUAAUAAAAAGAAGUUCUCUUUCUAAUCCUAUUUAGAUUCUGUCGGGUGAAUACAAUCAAAUACAAUCAAACAGAAUCCAAUUCUGAUGCAAAAAUUCAAAUUAAAAAAUGAAAUAGAAAAGAUACAAAAUAAAAAAAAAAAAAUAUCACUAAAGGUGGGUUGUAAACCUUAUUAGAUACCAUUGACUCUGGUAUCUAAUAAGUUUUACCUACUAUUGGAUUUGAACCAAUGACUCCCGCCGUAUGAAAGCAGUACUCUAACCACUGAGUUAAGUAGGUCAUUUAUCAUCCCAAAGAGAACCAAACGAAACCCAUCCUGUCGAUGGAUUAUAAAUAUCAUAUUACUUAUAAGCAAUACUAAUAUAAGGAAUACCACUCAAAGAGAUCAAAGAUUCUUGAUGUUGGAUCCUGGAAUAUUUCUCUUGACAAGAAUUUACCUACAUGAUAAAAUAUGUAUCACAAGCACUAAGGGCUAUAGCUCAGUUGGUAGAGCAACUCGUUUACACGCGCGCCAAUGUUUUUCAAGGGAGUUCAUCAUACAAUCAGAAAAAUUGAUCUUGUUGAGAAAUCGAUGUCUUACUCCAUAACUUUGAGGGAACCAUAGCCUGACAAAGGGUUCGGUCCAAUUUGGACGCCCAUUUAGGAGGUGCCAAACAGACCCCAUCAUUGAUUUGAGAUCUUGAUAAGGUGAAUACCCAGUCUAUUCAAUGCUAGGCCAUAAUGAGUAUAAGGACCUCAAAAAAAUCUCUUUUCGUCAUAUGAACUUUAAGGUGUAUGAAGUUUCAUAUUUGAUUUUUAAGCAGAACGAUAGAGACUUCAUUUAACUUAGGUUGAUCUAGGCCAGAGACAGACCUACGUCAAGAUAAUCCCACCUUUGAAACACUUUGGUAAUGCUCCCAAAUAAUGAAUCAGAGCACAUGGAGCCAUUUCCUUAUCUUUUUUUAUGUCAAGAAAAAAAAUGGCAGACUAACUGAUAUUUAGAUCAGUUAAUGAAGGAGCCCAAUGCAAAAAAAAUGCAUGUUGGGUCUUUGAAACAGUUCAGAUCAUUUUAAUAAUAAGAAGUUUGAUCUGUUUUACCGAGAAG